AAAACAAAGAAUAAGUGCACUUGAGUAUAACAAUGGCUGGGUGAGGCCGGUAUAAAUGUCUAUUCUGCACAAGGUACAGACAAGUCUGGUGAGAUCCAUGCCUGGUUAAUUUUAACCCCUUAAGGACACAUGAUGGAAAUAUUCAGUCAUGAUUCCCUUUUAUUCCAGAAGUUGUGUCCUUAAGAGGUUAGUAAACGUUGGCCGUGGACAGGCAGCUGUGCUUGUCUGUGAUAACCACGUGCCGAUCGCACGUCCCCGUGACGGCGACAUCGCAUUCGGAUGUCUACCCUAUCAACUUUCAAUGCUAUUUUCCAAACCUACCAUGGUGACAACGGGUAAUGGGGAAUCAGGAUUCGAUUCCAGAGAGGAAGUCUGAGAAAUGGCUACAACAUGCAAGGAAGGAAGCAGGCGCGCAAAUUACCCACUCCCGAUGCGGGGAGGUAGUGACGACAAAUAACAAUACACUACUCAUUCGAGGCCCUGUAAUUGUAAUGAGUCCACUUUAAAUCCUUUAACUUGGAUUAAUUGGAGGGCAAGUCUGGUGCAGAGCGACUGACCCGUGCGUGCUAUAGCUGAAACUCCACU